AUUGAACGCUGGCGGCAUGCCUAACACAUGCAAGUCGAACGGUAACGCGAGGAGCUUGCUCCUUGGCGACGAGUGGCGGACGGGUGAGUAAUACUUAGGAAUCUGCCCAGUAGUGGGGGACGACCAGGAGAAAUCCUGGCUAAUACCGCAUACGCACUACGGUGGAAAGUGGGGGACCUUCGGGCCUCACGCUAUUGGAUGAGCCUAAGUCGGAUUAGCUUGUAGGUAGGGUAAUGGCCUACCUAGGCGACGAUCCGUAGCUGGUCUGAGAGGACGAUCAGCCGCACUGGGACUGAGACACGGCCCAGACUCCUACGGGAGGCAGCAGUGGGGAAUAUUGGACAAUGGGGGCAACCCUGAUCCAGCAAUGCCGCGUGUGUGAAGAAGGCCUGCGGGUUGUAAAGCACUUUCAGUAGAGAAGAAAAGCCUAGGGUUAAUAACCCUGAGUCUUGACGUAACCUACAGAAGAAGCACCGGCUAACUCCGUGCCAGCAGCCGCGGUAAUACGGAGGGUGCGAGCGUUAAUCGGAAUUACUGGGCGUAAAGCGCGCGUAGGCGGUUUUGUAAGUCGGAUGUGAAAUCCCCAGGCUUAACCUGGGAACUGCAUUCGAUACUGCUUAACUAGAGU
rnacentral:rRNA from 1 species